rnacentral:rRNA from 1 species
GACGAACGCUGGCGGCGUGCUUAACACAUGCAAGUCGAACGGAAAGGCCCUGCUUUUGUGGGGUGCUCGAGUGGCGAACGGGUGAGUAACACGUGAGUAACCUGCCCUUGACUUUGGGAUAACUUCAGGAAACUGGGGCUAAUACCGGAUAGGAGCUCCUGCUGCAUGGUGGGGGUUGGAAAGUUUCGGCGGUUGGGGAUGGACUCGCGGCUUAUCAGCUUGUUGGUGGGGUAGUGGCUUACCAAGGCUUUGAAGGGUAGCCGGCCUGAGAGGGUGACCGGGCACCAUGGGACUGAGGGACGGCCCAGACUCCUACGGGAGGCAGCAGUGGGGAAUAUUGCACAAUGGGCGGAAGCCUGAUGCAGCAACGCCGCGUGUGGGAUGACGGCCUUCGGGUUGUAAACCGCUUUCGCCUGUGACGAAGCGUGAGUGACGGUAAUGGGUAAAGAAGCACCGGCUAACUACGUG